rnacentral:rRNA from 1 species
AACGAACGCUGGCGGCAGGCUUAACACAUGCAAGUCGAACGCUCGUAGCAAUACGGGAGUGGCGGACGGGUGAGUAACGCGUGGGAACGUGCCCUGAGGUACGGAAUAACUGAGGGAAACUUCAGCUAAUACCGUAUGAGCCCCGAGAGGGGGAAAGAUUUAUCGCCUUGGGAGCGGCCCGCGUCGGAUUAGCUAGUUGGUGGGUAACGGCCUACCAAGGCUUCGAUCCGUAGCUGGUCUGAGAGGACGAUCAGCCACACUGGGACUGAGACACGGCCCAGACUCCUACGGGAGGCAGCAGUGGGGAAUCUUGCGCAAUGGGGGGCAACCCUGACGCAGCCAUGCCGCGUGAACGAUGAAGGCCUUA